GCAGGGGGGCGCGUCAGCUCGCGCACCAGCAGGUUCCUCAGCUGCGUCUGCGCGGGGCGGGACAGACCGGACAUCACGUCACGGGGUCACAGGUCACGCAGGUCAAUAAGUCAAUCAAUUUUUUUUUUUUUGCCUGUCUGGAUUCAAUAUGGCGCCACGGGGUCACGCAGGUCAAUAAGUCAAUCAAUUUUUUUUUUUUUUGCCUGUCUGGAUUCAAUAUGGCGCCACCACCGGGCACCCCCCCACGAUACCUUGAGCGCGUCCAGCACGCCCCGCUCCUUGAACGUCCGGUACAGCCUCUUGCGUAGACCGUCCCGAGUCAGCGCGUCACACGUGGCGGGCCGGGACGCCAUGACUGCCCGAGAACAGACACGCGGCGCCGCGUCAGUCUCCAACGCCCAGCAGAGACAAGCGCCCAUUCUAACGGACUCAACUGGAGACAUCAUUCCCGCCCGCCCGCCCGCCCCGGGGGAGCGGCCACGUCCGCCAUCUUAGGUGUCUGCUACGUCCGCCAUCUUGGGUAGAGUGGCAAGUGCAGCCACGUCCGCCAUCUUAGGUGUCCGCUCCGCCCGCCCUGCCAAGGUCCGAGUCUGCAGCCCCGCUCGGGCUUCGGGCCCAAAGACCAGGGGAGACCGCUGACCUCGGAGCCCCGCCCCGCUGACCGGAAGUAGCCCUGCCCGCUGACCGGAAGGGGCCCCGCCCCGCUGACCGGAAGCAGACCCGCCCCGCUGACCGGAAGCAGACCCGCCCCGCUGACAGGAAGGAGCCCAGCCCCGCUGACCGGAAGUAGCCCUGCCCGCUGACCGGAAGGGGCCCCGCCCCGCUGACCGGAAGCAGACCCGCCCCGCUGACAGGAAGGAGCCCUACCCCGCUGACCGGAAGUAGCCCUGCCCGCUGAACGGAAGCAGCCCUGCCCGCUGACCGGAAGGAGCCCUGCCCGCUGACCGGAAGCAGCUCUGCCCCGCUGACCAGAAGUAGCACUGCCCCGCUGACCCCGGAGCCCUGCCCCGCUGACCGGAAGGAGCCCUGCCCCGCUGACGGGAAGCAGCCCCGCCCCGCUGACCCCGGAGCCCUGCCCCGCUGACCGGAAGUAGCCCUGCCCCGCUGACCGGAAGCAGCCCCGCCCCUGUCCCGGGGCUGGAAGCGGCCCGGGGCGGAACAGCGUGUUCUGGUGCUCCGAACUCGGACUCCGGCCAAAGCGCGCGACUGCGACCGCGCACCGCGCGGGACCCUCCAGGGCGAGCGACAGGCCGAGACCGGAAACCGGAACACAGACAGGAAGUACCGGGAGAGGGUUGUGUCUCCUCACGAGCCAGCCCGCUUCUCCCGGAAGUUCGCUGAGGCGCUACCGCGCUACGAACUCCGACCGGAAGUCCCGGCCAGACCUCGCGAGGGCGCACCUACGGAGUCUCGCGAGGACUGCGCGCGUCCACCAGCCAGCCCGCUUCUCCCGGAAGUUCUUCCCUGAGGCGCUACCGCGCAAGCCGCCCCGCUA
rnacentral:lncRNA from 1 species